rnacentral:rRNA from 1 species
UACGAAGGGGGCUAGCGUUGCUCGGAAUCACUGGGCGUAAAGGGUGCGAGUAGGCGGGUCUUUAAGUCAGGGGUGAAAUCCUGGAGCUCAACUCCAGAACUGCCUUUGAUACUGAAGAUCUUGAGUUCGGGAGAGGUGAGUGGAACUGCGAGUGUAGAGGUGAAAUUCGUAGAUAUUCGCAAGAACACCAGUGGCGAAGGCGGCUCACUGGCCCGGUACUGACGCUGAGGUGCGAAAGCGUGGGGAGCAAACAGGG